rnacentral:lncRNA from 10 species
UGCCGCCAUCCACCUAAGAUGUGACUUGCUCCUUGCCUUCCACCAUGAUUGUGAGGCCUCCCCAGCCAUGUGGAAAUCAUGUUCCAGAAGGCCAGGGCGGUCGGUUCUGCUGCACAAAUGAGGUCAGAGCAAUCAAGAGAGCCAAGGAAGUCCUACUUAUCUGGAUUAAAUAACUCAAUCUACAAACUACUCAACUUUAAUAUAAGGUGGAAAAUAGGAUUUCAAAAGAAAAGAAGAAGGAGAAGAACAAGGACAAGAAACUGAGUUUUGGCAGAAGUCAUCCAGGGACCAGGACUAAAGGAGACUGCUGACUUGCAUACACAUCUUCCAAGAACACACUGGGCAUCAACAUCCAACAAGCGAAAAAAGGAAGGAGCAUGUAGGAUGCCAUGGACCUGGUCUAAAAAUGACACACAGUACUUUCUCUAAUAUUCCACUGGCUGGAUUUCAUCUUAAUGGGUAUACCUAACUGCAGGGAAUUCAUACCUAACUGCAGCGAAUUCAUACCUAACUGCAAGGAAUUCAUACCUAACUGCAAGAAGUCAGAGAGAAGCAUAUGACACGUUCAGAAGAAAGGAACUGCCAUAUUGUGGACAAGGUCACAUGGCAGGGAAUGGUGGGCAGCCUCUAGAAGCUAAGAGCAACCCCCAGCUGACAGCCAGCAAGACAUCAGAGACUUCAGUCCUACUGCCCCAGAAACUGAAUUCUGCCAACAACCUGGACGAGCCUGGACAGAAACCUGAGCCCAGAGUGAGAAAUGCAGCCCCAGCCAACACCUGGAUUUCAGCCUGAUGAGACCCUGAGGAGAGAAUCCAGUCAUGUUGCAUCUGGAAUUCUGACCUAGAGAACUGUAGCACACUGCUAAGAGAUAUGCGUAAUGGAGGCCCCAGGACUACUCCUAAUCAAGUUGGAUUGUUGUCAUUGACUAGGUAAAUAGGCCUGUGCAAACUUACAAAGGCAAUGCAUUGCCUGUAUCUUGUCACGUCUUUUAGUGGUCUUUUCUCUUUUUCCUGGGUUUCUAUCACAG